GAAAUGCGAUACGUAAUGUGAAUUGCAGAAUUCAGUGAAUCAUUGAAUCUUUGAACGCACCUUGCGCCCCUUGGCAUUCCGAGGGGCACACCCGUUUGAGUGUCGUGAAACCAUCAAAACCCUUUUUCUUUUGGAAAAGGGUUUUGGACUUGGAGGUUUGAUGCUUGCUUUCACUUUUGAAAGUAAGCUCCUCUCAAAUGAAUUAGUGGGGUUUGCUUUGUUGAUCCUUGACGUGAUAAGAUGUUUUUACGUUUUUGAUUUGGCACUGUGCCCGCUUCUAAACUGUCUCAUGGACAACGAUGGUGCUUCGGUCACUGCCCAUCCACAUUGGCAGAAGGCUGGACCCACAAAAAAUCCCUUGACCUCAAAUCGGGUGAGACUACCCGCUGAACUUAA
rnacentral:rRNA from 1 species